rnacentral:rRNA from 1 species
GACGAACGCUGGCGGCGUGCUUAACACAUGCAAGUCGAACGGAAAGGCCCUGCUUUUGUGGGGUGCUCGAGUGGCGAACGGGUGAGUAACACGUGAGUAACCUGCCCUUGACUUUGGGAUAACUUCAGGAAACUGGGGCUAAUACCGGAUAGGAGCUCCUGCUGCAUGGUGGGGGUUGGAAAGUUUCGGCGGUUGGGGAUGGACUCGCGGCUCAUCAGCUUGUUGGUGGGGUAGUGGCUUACCAAGGCUUUGACGGGUAGCCGGCCUGAGAGGGUGACCGGCCACAUUGGGACUGAGAUACGGCCCAGACUCCUACGGGAGGCAGCAGUGGGGAAUAUUGCACAAUGGGCGGAAGCCGGAUGCAGCAACGCCGCGUGCGGGAUGACGGCCUUCGGGUUGUAAACCGCUUUCGCCUGUGACGAAGCGUGAGUGACGGUAAUGGGUAAAGAAGCACCGGCUAACUACGU